UACGUAGGGCGCAAGCGUUGUCCGGAAUUAUUGGGCGUAAAGAGCUCGUAGGCGGUCUGUCGCGUCGGCUGUGAAAGCCCGGGGCUCAACCCCGGGUCUGCAGUCGAUACGGGCAGGCUAGAGUGCGGUAGGGGAGACUGGAAUUCCUGGUGUAGCGGUGAAAUGCGCAGAUAUCAGGAGGAACACCGGUGGCGAAGGCGGGUCUCUGGGCCGACACAGACACUGAGAGACGAAAGCUAGGGGAGCAAAUGGG
rnacentral:rRNA from 1 species